rnacentral:rRNA from 1 species
UGAAUACGAGAUGCUACGGCGUCGAAGCAGUGUAUGUCAGACUUCCAAGAAAAGCUCGCAAUGUCAUAAAUAAAGAAUGCCUGUACCAUAACCGACACAGGUGGGUAGGUAGAGUAUACUAAGGGGCGCGAGAUAACUCUCUCUAAGGAACUCGGCAAAAUAACUCCGUAACUUCGGGAGAAGGAGUGCCUUCUUUUAGAAGGUUGCAAUAACAAGAUCCAAGCAACUGUUUAUCAAAAACACAGGUCUCCGCUAAGUCGUAAGACGAUGUAUGGGGGCUGACGCCUGCCCAGUGCCAGAAGGUUAAAGAAGUUCGUUAGCUUUUGCGAAGCUGAUGACUGAAGCCCUGGUGAACGGCGGCCGUAACUAUAACGGUCCUAAGGUAGCGAAAUUCCUUGUCGGGUAAGUUCCGACCCGCACGAAAGGCGUAAUGAUUUGGAUACUGUCUCGGAGAGGGACUCGGUGAAAUAGACUUGUCUGUGAAGAUGCGGACUACCUGCACCAGGACAGAAAGACCCUAUGAAGCUUUACUGUAACUUGAAAUUGAAAUUGGACUUUAUUUGCGCAGUAUAGGUGGAAGGCGUUGAAAGUAAUCUUGCGGGAUUAGUGGAGCCAUCAGUGAGAUACCACUCCUAUAAUGUUAGAUUUCUAACUUUGGAUCAUGAUCUGGUCAAAGAACAGUUUCAGGCGGGCAGUUUGACUGGGGCGGUCGCCUCCCAAAUGGUAACGGAGGCGUACAAAGGUUUCCUCUGAACGGGUAGAAAUCGUAUCUAGAGUGUAAAGGCAUAAGGAAGCUUGACUGUGAGACCUACAAGUCGAGCAGGGACGAAAGUCGGUCUUAGUGAUCUGACGGUGCUGAGUGGAAAGGCCGUCACUCAACGGAUAAAAGUUACUCUAGGAUAACAGGCUGAUCUCCCCCAAGAGUUCACAUCGACGGGGAUGUUUGGCACCUUGAUGUCGGCUCAUCGCAUCCUGGGGCGGUAGUACGUCCCAAGGGUUGGGCUGUUCGCCCAUGAAAGCGGUACGCGAGCUGGGUUCAGAACGUCGUGAGACAGUUCGGUCCAUAUCCGGUGUAGGCGUUAGAAUAUUGAGAGGAGCCUUCUUUAGUACGAGAGGACCGAGAAGGACAUACCUCUGGUGUACCAGUUAUCGUGCCAACGGUAAACGCUGGGUAGCUAUGUAUGGAGAGGAUAACCGCUGAAAGCAUCUAAGUGGGAAGCCCACCUCAAGAUGAG